UGGAGAGUUUGAUCCUGGCUCAGGACGAACGCUGGCGGCGUGCUUAACACAUGCAAGUCGAGCGGUAAGGCCCUUCGGGGUACACGAGCGGCGAACGGGUGAGUAACACGUGGGUGAUCUGCCUCGCACUUCGGGAUAAGCCUGGGAAACUGGGUCUAAUACCGGAUAUGACCUUUCAGUGCAUGCUGUUUGGUGGAAAGAUUUAUCGGUGCGAGAUGGGCCCGCGGCCUAUCAGCUUGUUGGCGGGGUAACGGCCCACCAAGGCGACGACGGGUAGCCGACCUGAGAGGGUGACCGGCCACACUGGGACUGAGACACGGCCCAGACUCCUACGGGAGGCAGCAGUGGGGAAUAUUGCACAAUGGGCGAAAGCCUGAUGCAGCGACGCCGCGUGAGGGAUGACGGCCUUCGGGUUGUAACCUCUUUCGACAGGGACGAAGCGAGAGUGACGUACCUGUAGAAGAAGCACCGGCCAACUACGUGCCAGCAGCCGCGGUA
rnacentral:rRNA from 1 species